GAUGAAGAACGCAGCAAAAUGCGAUAAGUAAUGUGAAUUGCAGAAUUCAGUGAAUCAUCGAAUCUUUGAACGCACAUUGCGGCCAUAGGUAUUCCUUUGGCCAUGCCUGUUCGAGCGUCAUUUACACCCUCAAGCCUAGCUUGGUGUUGGGCGUCUGUCCCGCCGUUUUCGCGCGCGGACUCGCCUCAAAGUCAUUGGCGGCGGUCGUGCCGGCCCCCUCGCGCAGCACAUUUGCGCUUCUCGGAGGCCCGGCGGAUCCGCGCUCCAGCAAGACCUUUCACGACUUGACCUCGGAUCAGGUAGGGAUACCCGCUGAACUUAAGCAUAUCAAUAAGCGGAGGA
rnacentral:misc_RNA from 1 species